rnacentral:rRNA from 1 species
UACGAAGGAGGCUAGCGUUGUUCGGAAUUACUGGGCGUAAAGCGCGUGUAGGCGGUUGUCCAAGUUGGAUGUGAAAGCCUUGAGCUCGACUCAAGAAAUGCAUUCAGGACUGGAUGACUAGAGGACCGGAGAGGAUAGUGGAAUUCCCAGUGUAGUGGUGAAAUACGUAGAGAUUGGGAAGAACACCAGUGGCGAAGGCGGCUAUCUGGACGGUUUCUGACGCUAAGACGCGAAAGCGUGGGGAGCAAACAGG